rnacentral:piRNA from 1 species
UACCAAGUUGAUAUACCAGACCCGAAGGU